rfam:Canis lupus familiaris chromosome 3, whole genome shotgun sequence.
GGGGGGAGGCCGGAUCCUGGGCUGUGUCCCGGCUCCCUGUGCUCCCGGCCUCUGUUGGAUUCGCGCUCCUGGCCCUGCAGCCCCCU